UCUUCAGCAUGUUGGAAUGGAUUUUUUGAAAAUUACGUUUUUCUUUGCUAGCCUUCAAAAUGAAACAUAUUUAGGCUUAUGUGUAGGCUUUAAUAGAAUAAGAUUCUAAUGGGAAUAUUAAUGUUUCAGCUGUAGAAUAUGGAUAUAAAUAAUGAUUGGGAUUCAGGAAAUCUUAUCCACAUACACUGAGGUAAAGACUACAAUCUGUGUCUAUCUAACAACAAGAAGCCUGUAAUUGUCUGUGCUACAACCUUAGCCCCUGACAGUCUGAUAGAGUUCCUGAAUGAGUUUUAUGGUAAUUCUACUUUAGAGAGAUGCAAUUCUGCUGUGUCCCUGUGAGUUGGAAACCAGAAAGCAAGUCAUCUACUAGUGGUGUAAUAGAGUCAUAUACAUCAAGGGAUGAGCACUAAAAGAUGUGGACCUGAUGUGGUGUCAUGAAGCUUUUGCUUUCUUCUUUUGGCUGUUCGUUUAACACAAGACAAAGCACAGACUUCUUUGGACAUUUGUUUCUACAUGAGUGUGACAAGGGAACAGCACUCUAACUUAUCAAGAAAACUUUUGGCAAAUUCAGUUUUGAAAACCAAUCCAGUCGUCAAUGGUUAUCCACAGUACCAGGAGCCAUUCAAUCUUGCCCAGCAGACAGGCUCCCAUGAAGUACUUAGUGAUGGUCAAACAAAGUUUAUUAGACAAAUGGUUCUAGAGAAUCCAGUAGCUUGGUGGGAUUCUGAUCUGCAUAACAAAUCAAUUAGUGUUGUUGGUUCUUAUACUUGGUAAGUGAUUACUAUAAAAGCCAAACAUAAUAGAAAUAGCAGGUUAGCAAGCUUUACAGAAAGACUUGUUACAGAUGUUGAUAUACAGGGUGACCCAAAAGUAAGUUUACAGUUAUUAAACUACCUUUCAUAUGGUUGAAGCUACUUGCUUAGUAAUACCAAUAAAAACAUUCCUCAGAGUAUAAAUUAUCAGUUUUAAUGGUAAACAUGAUAGCUAUGAUAGCUACAUUGUGAUAAAAUAGUUGAUACUUGUUUAUGUUGGUGUAACAUUGUGAGAAUGUAUUUUAAUGUGUUAUUGUCUUAGUAUCUUUCAUCAGUUCAUGUGUCAUUCUAGCUUAAUAAAACCUUGUUUUAGGUUUCUCUACAGUGUUACUUUAAUUCUUAUUACAAUGUAUUUAGUUAGAACAAGGCAUGAAAUGAUGAAAGAUACAAUAGGUCAAAUACUAGUAUCUGUUGUAAAUAAUAGCAAGUAGUGUAGCAAGUAAAUAUCAACACUUGUAGCAGUAGUAUGAUUGAUAAACAAAUAGUAGUUU